AUCACCUGCGACAUAGGGGGUUUAGGCCCAAAACUUGACUAUCUCUGACUUGCUGAAGUGGAUGUUGAAGGUGUUCCCAUUCCUGUUCUAUUUUGCUUUUUCCUGAUCUGGAGGAAUUUUCCUAAAGAAGCCUAGUGGAUGUCGAUCGAUUUAGCGCCUGUACUAGCGCCGCGUGCCUGCAUUUGGUAAGCACGACAUCAACGCGGAAAUGAUGCCCGAUGGUUAAUUAAAGUUGGAAAAGACACACACAUUCCAAGCAAGGUACUGCGAGUAUUUAUUCUCGUGGCCUUGGCCUGAAGGCGGGAGACUGGCUGGGGAUCUAUCUGCGUAUCUAUCUAUAUAAUAUAUGUAUACUUACUAUAUAUAUAUGUAUGUAUGUACCUGCAUAUAAUUCGGGGUCCAUGUCCUUACCCUAGAUCGCCUCAACCCCCACACUGGCGCCCCUUGCUAAGGCAUAUAUCAUUCUCAAGGCAAAA
rnacentral:sRNA from 1 species